GCACCCGUCAUUGGGGAGUAGCCGCCCGGCGCGCCACGCGCCGGGGUUCGCGUCAACACACUUGGCCAGCCGGCCAUGGCGCGAACAGCCUUCCAGCCUGGCAAGACCUUUGACCGCACCGCCUCCGCACGCGCCGGGGAGGCGCUGCGGUCUUUGGUUUUUUACGCCGGCCGUUGGAGUUU
rnacentral:sRNA from 2 species